UCUGAGCACUUCGUCUCGAAAAACGUGACCUAAAAAUGUGGCAGACGAUACUAGUGAGGGGGAGGCCUUUAUAUAUUCCUCUUUGUUGCACACCCUGCACACCCCCGCCUUCGAGAUUGCAGCUCUUUGCUAUACACCGGCCUCCAAGAUUGCAGCGCACUAAAAAAGACAAAUGUUGCAGCGUUUUCAAUAUGGCGUUCUACGAUUAAGGGACAGGAGUGGCCAGAUCUGUGUAGAAGACCGUUGCAUAGAUGGAUUGAGCGUUCUUACCGAAAUAUGCCGAGAGUACUCCUCUCUUUGCAUGACGAUAUUUGUGUUGACGAUCGAGGCGGCAGCGAAGAUAUGACCGUAUCAUGUGCUUACAUCUCUGCAUCUAUGGUUAUUACACUUCCACUGUUCCCUUGUCUCCCACCAUCACAGCGUUUGAAAGAGAGAAGGGUACUUCCGAGAAAGAAGAGCAUCAUGCAGGCAUAGAGACGAUUAUCAGUGCACCAUUGCCACCAAGAUGGCUGACGAAUGCCUAACGGGGCAAAUACGUUUAUGCCGCAUAAUAUUAUGAUGAUCACCAGGAUUUUAGACAUGCCC
rnacentral:lncRNA from 1 species